rnacentral:rRNA from 1 species
UUGAACGCUGGCGGCAGGCCUAACACAUGCAAGUCGAACGGUAACAGGAAGCAGCUUGCUGUUUCGCUGACGAGUAGCGGACGGGUGAGUAAUGUCUGGGAAACUGCCUGAUGGAGGGGGAUAACUACUGGAAACGGUAGCUAAUACCGCAUAACGUCGCAAGACCAAAGAGGGGGACCUUCGGGCCUCUUGCCAUCGGAUGUGCCCAGAUGGGAUUAGCUAGUAGGUGGGGUAACGGCUCACCUAGGCGACGAUCCCUAGCUGGUCUGAGAGGAUGACCAGCCACACUGGAACUGAGACACGGUCCAGACUCCUACGGGAGGCAGCAGUGGGGAAUAUUGCACAAUGGGCGCAAGCCUGAUGCAGCCAUGCCGCGUGUAUGAAGAAGGCCUUCGGGUUGUAAAGUACUUUCAGCGGGGAGGAAGGGAGUAAAGUUAAUACCUUUGCUCAUUGACGUUACCCGCAGAAGAAGCACCGGCUAACUCCGUGCCAGCAGCCGCGGUAAUACGGAGGGUGCAAGCGUUAAUCGGAAUUACUGGGCGUAAAGCGCACGCAGGCGGUUUGUUAAGUCAGAUGUGAAAUCCCCGGGCUCAACCUGGGAACUGCAUCUGAUACUGGCAAGCUUGAGUCUCGUAGAGGGGGGUAGAAUUCCAGGUGUAGCGGUGAAAUGCGUAGAGAUCUGGAGGAAUACCGGUGGCGAAGGCGGCCCCCUGGACGAAGACUGACGCUCAGGUGCGAAAGCGUGGGGAGCAAACAGGAUUAGAUACCCUGGUAGUCCACGCCGUAAACGAUGUCGACUUGGAGGUUGUGCCCUUGAGGCGUGGCUUCCGGAGCUAACGCGUUAAGUCGACCGCCUGGGGAGUACGGCCGCAAGGUUAAAACUCAAAUGAAUUGACGGGGGCCCGCACAAGCGGUGGAGCAUGUGGUUUAAUUCGAUGCAACGCGAAGAACCUUACCUGGUCUUGACAUCCACGGAAGUUUUCAGAGAUGAGAAUGUGCCUUCGGGAACCGUGAGACAGGUGCUGCAUGGCUGUCGUCAGCUCGUGUUGUGAAAUGUUGGGUUAAGUCCCGCAACGAGCGCAACCCUUAUCCUUUGUUGCCAGCGGUCCGGCCGGGAACUCAAAGGAGACUGCCAGUGAUAAACUGGAGGAAGGUGAGGAUGACGUCAAGUCAUCAUGGCCCUUACGACCAGGGCUACACACGUGCUACAAUGGCGCAUACAAAGAGAAGCGACCUCGCGAGAGCAAGCGGACCUCAUAAAGUGCGUCGUAGUCCGGAUUGGAGUCUGCAACUCGACUCCAUGAAGUCGGAAUCGCUAGUAAUCGUGGAUCAGAAUGCCACGGUGAAUACGUUCCCGGGCCUUGUACACACCGCCCGUCACACCAUGGGAGUGGGUUGCAAAAGAAGUAGGUAGCUUAACCUUCGGGAGGGCGCUUACCACUUUGUGAUUCAUGACUGGGGUG